rnacentral:rRNA from 1 species
CGCCUUAACACAUGCAAGUCGAACGGAGAACCUUCGGGUUCUUAGUGCGGACGGUGAGUAACACGUGAGCAACCUGCCUCUCAGAGGGGGAUAACGUUUGGAAACGAACGCUAAUACCGCAUAACGUAUUUUGGUCACAUGGCCUUAAUACCCAAAGGAGCAAUCCGCUGAGAGAUGGGCUCGCGUCCGAUUAGAUAGUUGGCGGGGUAACGGCCCACCAAGUCGACGAUCGGUAGCCGGACUGAGAGGUUGAACGGCCACAUUGGGACUGAGAUACGGCCCAGACUCCUACGGGAGGCAGCAGUGGGGGAUAUUGCACAAUGGGGGAAACCCUGAUGCAGCGAUGCCGCGUGAAUGAUGACGGUCUUCGGAUUGUAAAGUUCUGUCGUUAGGGACGAUAAUGACGGUACCUAACAAGAAAGCUCCGGCUAACUACGUG